rnacentral:rRNA from 1 species
UAGGGAAUAUUGCACAAUGGGCGAAAGCCUGAUGCAGCAACGCCGCGUGCGCGAAGAAGGUCUUCGGAUCGUAAAGCGCUUUUCUGGGAGAUGAGAAAUGACAGUAUCCCAGGAAUAAGUCUCGGCUAACUACGUGCCAGCAGCCGCGGUAACACGUAGGAGGCGAGCGUUAUCCGGAUUCACUGGGCGUAAAGCGCGUGCAGGCGGUUCGGUAAGUUGGGCGUGAAAUCUCCCGGCUCAACUGGGAGAGGACGUUCAAUACUACCGAACUUGAGAGCGAUAGAGGAAAAUGGAAUUCCCGGUGUAGUGGUGAAAUGCGUAGAUAUCGGGAGGAACACCAGUGGCGAAAGCGAUUUUCUGGAUCGUUUCUGACGCUCAGACGCGAAAGCUAGGGUAGCAAAC